CUGAACCUACGGGGGGCAGCAGUGGGGAAUAUUGCACAAUGGGGGGAACCCUGGUGCAGCGACGCCGCGUGGGCGAGGAAGUAUUUCGGUAUGUAAAGCCCUAUCGGCAGGGAAGAAGAAAUGACGGUACCUGAAUAAGAAGCACCGGCUAAAUACGUGCCAGCAGCUGCGGUAAUACGUAUGGUGCAAGCGUUAUCCGGAUUUACUGGGCGUAAAGGGAGCGCAGGCGGCGCGCCAAGUCUGAUGUGAAACCCCGGGGCUCAACCCCGGGCCUGCAUUGGAAACUGGCGGGCUGGGGUGCCGGG
rnacentral:rRNA from 1 species